GUGCUUGACUUGGCAGCAUGUAUACUAACAGUGAGAUGACACAAGAAGUUUGGCAUGGUCCCUGUAGAAGGGUGACACAUAAAUUCCUAAAGCAUUCCAUAUUUUA
ensembl:snRNA U6 U6 spliceosomal RNA